rnacentral:rRNA from 1 species
CGCCUGUUUAUCAAAAACAUAGCCCCUUGAAUAUUUAAGGGGUCCCGCCUGCCCAGUGGCCUGAAGCUAAACGGCCGCGGUAUCUUGACCGUGCAAAGGUAGCAUAAUCAUUUGUCUUUUAAAUGGAGACUCGUAUGAAUGGCGAAACCUUUUUUAACUGUCUUCCUUCCUACCCUCUGAGAUUUCUUUCUGUGUGAAGAAGCACAGAUAAACUAGAAAGACGAGAAGACCCUGUCGAGCUUUAGCUCUUAGGUGAGCUUCCUCCUUUUUUAGAUAUCACCGAAAGGCUUUGGUUGGGGCAACCACGGAGAAAAAGAAUCCUCCGGAACAAAUAGAAGAAAACUUUUCACUAUUAAUAAACCUAAGAACCAGGAACUGGUAUUCGGAAAAAGUUACCGCAGGGAUAACAGCGUAAUUCUCUUUAAGAGUCCUUAUUGACGAGAGAGUUUGCGACCUCGAUGUUGGAUUGGGGCCCCCUUAGGGUGCAGAAGCUCUAAACGGUUAGACUGUUCGUCUAUUAAAGCCCUACA